rnacentral:tRNA from 3 species
GCGGGUGUGGCGGAAUUGGCAGACGCACCAGACUUAGGAUCUGGCGCCUUACGGCGUGGGGGUUCAAGUCCCUUCACCCGCACCA